rnacentral:rRNA from 1 species
CUCUUUCGGCGGGGACGAUAAUGACGGUACCUGCAGAAGAAGCUGCGGCUAACUACGUGCCAGCAGCCGCGGUAAUACGUAGGGGGCAAGCGUUGUUCGGAAUUACUGGGCGUAAAGAGUGCGUAGGCGGUUCUCUAAGUUUGGUGUGAAAUCUCCCGGCUCAACUGGGAGGGUGCGCCGGAAACUGGAGGGCUUGAGUGUGGGAGAGGAGAGCGGAAUUCCUGGUGUAGCGGUGAAAUGCGUAGAUAUCAGGAGGAACACCUGUGGUGAAGACGGCUUUCUGGACCAUUACUGACGCUGAGGCACGAAAGCGUGGGGAGCAAACAGGAUUAGAUACCCUGGUAGUCCACGCCCUAAACGAUGCAUGCUUGGUGUGGGCCGUUCAGUUGGUUCGUGCCGGAGCUAACGCGUUAAGUAUGCCGCCUGGGGAGUACGGUC